GAAAGCCUUUGGGUUACCAAACCAGGAAUUAAGAUACCCCUGGUUAGUCCACCCCGUAACGAGGUCUACUAGUCCGUUGGGUCCCCUGGAGGAACUUAGUGACCCAGCUAACCAAUAAGUAGACCGCCUGGGAGUACGCCCGCAAGGUUAAAACUCAAAUGAAUUGACGGGGCCCGCACAACGGUGGAGCAUGUGGUUUAAUUCGAUGCAACGCGAAGAACCUUACCUGGUCUUGACAUAUCUAGAAUCCUGCAGAGAUGCGGGAGUGCCUUCGGGAAUUAGAAUACAGGUGCUGCAUGGCUGUCGUCAGCUCGUGUCGUGAGAUGUUGGGUUAAGUCCCGCAACGAGCGCAACCCUUUUCCUUAGUUACCAGCGGGUUAAGCCGGGAACUCUAAGGAUACUGCCAGUGACAAACUGGAGGAAGGCGGGGACGACGUCAAGUCAUCAUGGCCCUUACGACCAGGGCUACACACGUGCUACAAUGGUAGGUACAGAGGGCAGCUACACAGCGAUGUGAUGCGAAUCUCAAAAAGCCUAUCGUAGUCCAGAUUGGAGUCUGCAACUCGACUCCAUGAAGUAGGAAUCGCUAGUAAUCGCGGAUCAGAAUGCCGCGGUGAAUACGUUCCCGGGCCUUGUACACACCGCCCGUCACACCAUGGGAGUUGAUUGCACCAGAAGUGGAUAGCCUAACCGUAAGGUAGGCGUUCACCACGGUGUGGUUGAUGACUGGGGUGAAGUCGUAACAAGGUAGCCGUAGGGGAACCUGCGGCUGGAUCACCU
rnacentral:rRNA from 1 species